GCGGCGAGGUUAAACAUGUUUGUGAGAUCUCAACCCUCCCUCUAUACCUCUAGCCAAUGUAGAAAAGUAAACGCAUAACAAUACGCAAUGCAUGUUACCUAAAGAACACUGAGGCAUGAUGAUUAAUUUAUUGUGGAAGGAAGAGAAGCGACACACAAAAUGAGGUCUUCUCGUUUAAUAGUAUAGAUAAAAAUCAUGACACACAUGCUUAAAUUUGUUUACCCUGUACUAUACAUAAAAAAAAUGGUGAUUUCUUAACUAUCAAUGUGCCAAUGAGACGUCAAUUUUUCAAGUAAAUUGCAAUCGGGUGAAGUGUCGCAGAUUCCGAAAUAGUGAUUAGAUUUAUUCAGUGGAUGUCGCCAACUGUCAUGAUUGACACAAUGAAACACACCUUCUUUGGACUAGACUGACACGCUAUAUAUCAAAAAGAAGAUGUGAUAUGAUUGCCAAUGAGACAACUCUUCACAAGAGACAAAAUGACACAGAAAUUAACAACUAUAGGUCACCGUACGAUCUUCAACAAUGAGCAAAGCCCAUACCGUAUAGUCAGCUAUAACAGGCCCCGAAAUGACAAUGUAAAACAAUUCAAACGAGAAAACUAACGGCUUUAUUCAUAUAUAAACAACAUGAAAGAGAUCACGCUAAGCCGGAUUUUCAACGUGUUAGUUCACAUGGUAACUGUCCACAGAAAGACAUAUCACCUUACCCGGACACAUUAUUGAUGUUAUUUUAACACCGAGCCGACUAGUAUUUGCGCUUACUCUUUAA
rnacentral:lncRNA from 1 species